rnacentral:rRNA from 1 species
UUCCAGACUCCUACGGGAGGCAGCAGUGGGGAAUAUUGCACAAUGGGGGAAACCCUGAUGCAGCGACGCCGCGUGAGCGAUGAAGUAUUUCGGUAUGUAAAGCUCUAUCAGCAGGGAAGAAGAUGACGGUACCUGACUAAGAGGCCCCGGCUAACUACGUGCCAGCAGCCGCGGUAAUACGUAGGGGGCAAGCGUUAUCCGGAUUUACUGGGUGUAAAGGGAGCGUAGACGGCGAUGCAAGCCAGAUGCGAAAGCCCGGGGCUCAACCCCGGGACUGCAUUUGGAACUGUGUGGCUGGAGUGUCGGAGAGGCAGGCGGAAUUCCUAGUGUAGCGGUGAAAUGCGUAGAUAUUAGGAGGAACACCAGUGGCGAAGGCGGCCUGCUGGACGAUGACUGACGUUGAGGCUCGAAAGCGUGGGGAGCAAACAGGAUUAGAUACCCCUGUAU